GUGAGGAAUAUUGGACAAUGGGCGGUAGCCUGAUCCAGCCAUGCCGCGUGCAGGAAGAAUGUCCUAUGGACUGUAAACUGCUUUUGUACGGGAAGAACCGGGGGCACGCGUGCCCCCCUGACGGUACCGUAAGAAUAAGGAUCGGCUAACUCCGUGCCAGCAGCCGCGGUAAUACGGAGGAUCCGAGCGUUAUCCGGAAUCAUUGGGUUUAAAGGGUCCGUAGGCGGGCCGUUAAGUCAGGGGUGAAAGUCUGCGGCUCAACCGUAGGACUGCCCUUGAUACUGGCGGCCUUGAGUUAUGGUGAAGUAGCCAGAAUAUGUGGUGUAGCGGUGAAAUGCAUAGAUAUCACAUGGAAUACCGAUUGCGAAGGCAGGCUGCUAACCAUAUACUGACGCUGAUGGACGAAAGCGUGGGUAGCGAACAGGAUUAGAUACCCUGGUAGUC
rnacentral:rRNA from 1 species